rnacentral:rRNA from 1 species
UACGAAGGGGGCUAGCGUUGCUCGGAAUCAUUGGGCGUAAAGCGCGCGUAGGUGGCCUCAUAAGUCCGCUGUGAAAGUCAAAGGCUCAACCUUUGAAAGCCGGUGGAUACUGUGAGGCUAGAGUACGGAAGAGGCGAGUGGAAUUCCUGGUGUAGCGGUGGAAUGCGCAGAUAUCAGGAGGAACACCAAUAGCGAAGGCAGCUCGCUGGGACGUUACUGACACUGAGGCGCGAAAGCGUGGGGAGCGAACAGG